CUUUGAGCAGGGGGUUGGACUAGAUGACCUCCUGAGGUCCCUUCCAACCUUGAUAUUCUAUGAUUCUAAGGCAUCACACUUUGGGUCACAGGUAAUGACAGUGGCCACUGGACACUUUAUGGAAAGAUCUGUAAUGAUGCCUCAGAAAUUUUUGCUACCAUCAGUCUUUCAGCUCAUCAGCACUCAAAAGAGCAGAUAAUGCUAACAGGAUGAGUUGGCAAGCAUCAAUGUGUUUUGCACAUAAAAGUGAUACAUUGGCUGGAGGUGUUGGGCUAGAUGACUUAAUGGAGCUUUUCCAUCUUUAAUGCUUAUGGUUUUCCAAAGGUGGUUUCAAAGGCAGCAUUGCAAUAUCUCAUCCCCUUUGGGUAGGUGAGUGGGUUGUAUGCUCUCUGCAGUGAGUCAUCCUCAUCUUGUUUAACUGCAAAGUACAUUUUUUUGUUUAUUUACGAGUUCCAGAUCUGUCUGUCUGAUGAUGCAUGCAGCCCAUAAACUUCAGUGCACCGGCUCUCCGUACUUUCCAGUAAAGGCCUGCCAAGUGGAGGGAUGUGAAAGGAGAUAACUCUACAGGAUGUCAGGGGGCAUUUUAAGAGGUUCAGCAGACGAUGCAUGUUGACGGGCCCUGGAAGGGAAAGUUGAUGGCCAAAGAGUGAGAGGCAGAAAAAGAAGCUCUUGGAGGACAACGCGGUAUCCCAGGUGGAUCAAAAGGACUAUUCAUCCACAAAGAGAUUAAGAGAGGACCAUACAGAAUGGGCUACCACGGUUGCAAACCUCUAGUAAUGGAGAAGCCAUAUAAGAAGAAGAUGAGCUUUUCAACAUCUUAUGGCACUGUAUGUGCUUUGCUUGAGAUUGCAGGAAAUUUUUCAUUUUGUGUUUCCCUUGACUACAAUGUAUCAAAAGACUUUUUGAUUUUGAAGGAGCAACUUGUUUGAAAGAAGAUUAAUUCUGCUUAACUUAGGUUUUCAGGUUUUAUUUGAGAGAGAUUAAUUUGAACUACUUAUGUCCACUGAUGAGUUAGUUCUACAUGAACUGUAUUAAUGGGGUAAAAUGGUCGUCCCUGUAGACAGCUUCAUAUAGACCCCUGCUCAAUGAGCCAAAACAAACCAACACGUUGUUAGGCUGCAUAAAGGAUGGGGCAGACAAUAAUGCUGAAAAUAUUAUAAUGCCAUUAUACAUAUCAAGAGGGAACAUUAUGUACAGUUCUGGUCACCUCCGUCUGCAAAAAGCUACAGCAGAAAGAGAAGGGUUCCGGGACGGUUGCUCAAACUAAUGAGCAUCAAUGAGAGACUUUCAAAAGAGGAAAUAUCAAAAAGACUGGGACAUUUGAGUUUAGAGAGGAGAUGACUGUGAAGGGACGUGAUAGUAGAAUACAAAAUAAUGAAUGGUAUAAGGUAAAUCAGGGAUGCUCCUAUCUGUCUAUAUCUCAUAGUACCACCACAAGGACACUCCAAUAAAAUUGAAAGGUGACUCAUUUUAAGCUGAUAAAAGGAAGCACUUUUUAAUUACAUACUCCACAACUAACCUGUGGAACUCAUUGUCACAAGCUAAUGCUAAAGCCAAGAGCAUGAUUUAAAAAAAAGGGUUAGACAUUUAUGAGUGACAUUUUCAAAACAUCUAAAUGACUUAGGAGCACAAGUCCCAUUGAAAGUCUGUGGGUAAUAAGAACAUUCACAGUUACAUUAAGUAGAAUAAAAAUAAGUAUAAGAGAUAAAUAACACUCAUGCCUCAAGACAUCAACCAACCACUAAGGGACAGUAAGAAACUUCCUUUACAGAUUAUGCCACCUUCUUCUGAAGUAUGUGGUACUAGCCACUGUUGCAGCCAGAAUAUCUAUGUAUGGUGCUUAUGUGGCCCCAUGGCCUUUGCAGCUAAGCACCUCACAAUUUUAAUGUAUUUAUCCUCAUGGUACCCUGGUCAGGUUAAGAAGUGCUAUUGUCUUCAUUUUACCAAUAGGAGAUCGGACACAGCAAGUGACUUGCCUAAGAUCACAUAGAUAAUUUGUAGAGGAGUAGGGACUUGAACCUGGUUUCCCAGCUAGGACUCUACCCACCCUUCCUGCAUAGUGGUCUAGACAGAGCACUGAUCUGACUCUGCCUGUGAAUUCCUGCAUUCCUAGUUCAUUUAGCUCUGUUGUUGAUCUACUCAUAACAGCUGCUAUUUCUCCUUGACUGGUAUGUCAGGUAUGCUACUGUAUCUCAUGGUGACAUGCCAUAUCCUGCAAGGUCCUGAGCACUUGCAACUCCCAUUACCUCAGGACUUUAAAUUUGGCUUGAGGUGUUUAAUGGAUGGAGACAAACAAUCCUACGGCCUUCACAGUGUGUAUUAUUGAUUUGUUAAGCUAAAAUAAAUACAGCUGGAAUGUGAAAACCAAUUCAGACAGCCCAAUGUUGCCUGUAUCUAUCUUUGGUGUGGUUUCAAAGCAAACCCUUAAAUCACUGUCGGAGUCUUGUUUCACGGGUUGUCCUGACACAUAUUGCAAGGGUGACAGAAGAAAUAAAGAACGCAUAUAAAUAUAGAACCAAAAUUGAUACAUGACUUGGAAUCUGGGGCCUGAUUCACCUCUACACUAUUGCAGUUUGACACUGGUGUAAAUCCACUGAUUGCAAUGAAAUUAUCAGCUAUAGAAGUCCUGGGAAUUCAAAUACCAUCAAAAACAGAUUUAAAAAUACAGGUAGACAUCAAUAACUUCUUUGAGAGAACAACUACUUCUGCCCUGGCCCAGUUUCAGGCUGUAACUCAUAGAAAACCACAGUCUGAUGGGUUUGGGUGCAGCCUUUUUCUCUUAACUGUCCUUCAAUAACUGCGUAGGAAUUUUAUAAAAAGUGAUCAAAACCAGAUCUUUUUGUUCUUUUUAGGCAAUGAAUUUGCUUCCAGCAGCACGAAUAAUCAUCCAUGAUGGAGCCUGUGUUAGAUCUCUGUCUGCACUGCAACACAGGGAAAUGUAAAUGAAAUCCGCCCGUUUAGAUGUCUUUAAUGUGAAGCUGCCACCUGGGAUUGUACUGAGAGUCUUUUGACCAAAUUCAGCAAGGGGAUAGGGUAUACCACUAAAGACAUAACAGGGAGCACAGAAUCUGCUCUUCAUUUAAAUGCCUCCUACAUGCUCAUUACUUGUGUGAUACUCAUAAAGAGUCAGUCAAUCAUUUCAGUGCCUAGAAUUGCAUUCUUAAUGAUGAAUCUCCCUAAUUAAUCCCUUCUCUGAGCUUUGCAGUGAGCCCUGUGCCGUGUCUGUCUUGUUUAAGUUGUAUGUGCUGCCUCAGGAUCAAGGCCAUCUUCAUUCUGGGGGAAAAUUUCAAAAGCACCUAAGGGCCACAGGAGCACAAAUGCUACUAGAAAUCAAUGGGGCUCGUGCUCCCAAAUCCCAGGGUUGGAGCACCCACAGAGAAAAAUUAGUGGGUGUUUAGCACCCAUCAGCAGCCAAGCUCCCCUUCCUCCUCCCACUCCUGCCCGCUGCUGGCCCCCGCCGAUCAAUUCCUCCUCCUCCCUCCCAGUGCUUCCUGCAUGCCAUGGAGGCUAUAUGUCCUGGAGGGCUAACCCAGACCACGCACUGGGGAUCUUUUGCUUAUUCUUAAUAAUCCUUGCUCCUCGCAGUCCAAGCAGCAUAAAGAUAGAGUUUCUUCUUGUCAGGGAUUUUUAUUCCCUUCCCCCAGAGUUCAAGCUGAUGGGACGAGUCCACAUGCCUGUCCCCAAUUCAUGGGGGGUGGUGGUGGUGGUGGGGAGAGCAAUCAACAAAGUCUUUUUUUCUCUGAUGUUCCACAAUGGUUUGACUGGUGUCUAUGGGCCUUUUGCUGGGCAGGAGAGAAGGCCUCCUGUAGCAAACCAGUAUUUCGCAGUUGGUAAUGCUUCUCUGCUGACUGGUGAUUUAUAGUUACGGAGCAACCACUUGAAUAUUACCUUAUACCAUGGGACACAGCUAUUGCAAGGGACACUAUUGCCGGCAGCAACUUACAAGCGUCUCAUACAGUCUAAACACGUUUUUCUAACCCUAAUACCUAUUUUAAACAAUCCUGACACACAGGGGAGGCAGACUGGUUCCCAGCUGUGCAUUUGUCAGUGUUUAGUGAGACGUAGGGGCCUUGGCAUGAGCUGGCACCUGGUCUGCCAACUUCCGAGUUAUUAUAAGACAGUAUAGAGUGAAACUAUGCAUAUGUUUGGGGAGCACCAGAAAGUGGUCCAGAGGAGAAGAGCCAAGGAAUCGUGGAGGAUGCAGUGGAGUGACUGGAAGGGCCAAAGGAGGCAUGGGAAACUUGAAGACCGAUUAUUGAUUUGUUUACAGCAGCACCCACAAUGUCCCAGGUGUUUCCCAGCCAUUUGAGGGGGGAGUGGUACCAGCUCCAUGAGGCUCACAGUAUAAGGACAGACAGAGGUGAGGAGAAAGAGAACAACAGAGGGCUUCUAUAAACCCCCCUAUCUCCAUUCACUAUGAGCCGCAUAGCGGAAGUGGGUCUUUGAGACAGGGUGGGAGCGAGGCCUCGCAGAUGAACUGAGGAAGCAGAUUGGUGGAGCUAAGGGGGGCAGAUGGGUCAACGCAGAGCUCGACAAGGGAGGAUAAGUGGGGAGGGGCAGAGUUAUGCAGAGCUUUGAGGAUGGUGAGCAGCAGGUUACAGGUGAUGUGGUGGCAGAUGGGGAGCCAGCAGAGGACUGAAAUAGGGCAGUGAUGUGAUCAGACCGAUGGGCAAGGAAGAUGAUUUUAGCAGCUGUGGAAGGAAUGCAAUGUCGGGUUGUUUGGGUGGCUGGAGCAGAGGAUACUGUUGUAAUCAUGGCAGGGUAUAAAGGCCCAGACAAGAGAUUUGGCUGUGGGGACAGAAAGACCAACACUGAUGGCUUCCCUUCAUGGCAGCCUCAGCUGAGAGAACAAGGUGUGAAUGGGAUAUGGAGAAUGAAUAGCCUUAAACGGACUGUAGCAUAUGGGAAUAGGGUAGUAUCCCUUUAAAUAAUUUGUGAGUCCUCCAGUGGUGCUCACUGUGUUCUAUGUUUCAGAAGCCACUGGAUAUCAGCCAGAGAAGCUGUAUAUAUGUUUCGCUGUAUAGUUAGUAAACAUGGGUAUUUGGGCCAUCACUAACUAUGGGAUUCCUACAUAUUAUGUUUAUUAUGCCAAGAGCAAAGGGCACCAAGGGUGAUGGCCCAUUGGCGUUGUUGAUCGUUGACCCCAGACCUGAUCUUGGAGAGCCUAUAGUUUUGGAUAAAAUAAUAAUGGAAGUUAUUGAAGCCGUCACAGCAAGUAGAAGAACCAAAACAAGAAUUAAGUGUUAGCGCCUAGUUAUUGUGAGUAUUAUGUGCUUAUGAGAUGUGCUUGACCAAAGGUUAUAAAAUUUAGCAAUAUGUAUCUUGUGAUAGUUUAGCAAUGUAUCUUGUAAUACAUAGGGAAACCAGAAAUGAAUAGAUGGUAGCAUUUUAGGGGGUUUUGGUAAUAAGGCUAAUCACAUUAUGUCUGGAAACUCUUGGGAAAGGGAUUGAUGCAAACGGUUGGGUUAACUGUCGGAAAUGUAAUUAUGAUCAACUGGAACACCACAAAUGGACAUUUGGAACCCUAAAAUUGGCUUCCCGAAAUACCAAAUAUGGACAGGAGGCUGAGACUUGACUUGAUCAGAUAUAGCCCUGGAUGUAUGUGGGUGGAAUGGAAAAAGGUAUAUAAAGAUUGUCAAACCCAUCCCUCGCUGGGACACCGGAAUGACAACACUGAGCAACCGGGCAGUAAGCCUGGCACAAUACCUUCCUUUUGUAGCAAUCAUCACUUACUUUUUCUUUCCAUCAUUAUUUGUAAUGGUCUCCAUAAGGAUGUACAAUGUAAGUCUGUAAGUAUGAGCAAUACAAGAAACCAUUUUAGUGUACUUACCUAAUUCUUACACUUACGUAUAUUGAUUUUUCUAUUAUUUCAAUUAUAUUUGUCUGUAUUAACUACAACUCAUAAAGUUUCUGUGUCGCACGUCA